rnacentral:rRNA from 1 species
AUGCAAGUUGAACGCUGAAGACUGGUACUUGUACCAGUUGGAUGAGUAGCGCCCUUAAAGAGUCCGCGUGGGUAACCUACCUCUUAGCGGGGGCCUAUUAUUGGAAACGAUAGCUAAUACCGCAUAACAAUACCUAACACAUGUUAAGUAUUUGAAAGCACCAACUGGUGCACUAAGAGAUGGACCCGCGUUGUAUUAGCUAGUUGGGGGGGGGGUGGACUACCAAGGCGAUGAUACAUAGCCGACCUGAGAGGGUGAUCGGCCACAUUGGGACUGAGACACGGCCCAAACUCCUACGGGAGGCAGCAGUAGGGAAUCUUCGGCAAUGGGGGCAACCCUGACCGAGCAACGCCGCGUGAGUGAAGAAGGUUUUCGGAUCGUAAAACUCUGUUGUUAUAGAAGAACGUCAGUGAGAGUGGAAAGUUCACUGAGUGACGGUAUCUAACCAGAAAGGGACGGCUAACUACGUGCCAGCAGCCGCGGUAAUACGUAGGUCCCAAGCGUUGUCCGGAUUUAUUGGGCGUAAAGCGAGCGCAGGUGGUUUAAUAAGUCUGAUGUAAAAGGCAGUGGCUCAUCCAUUGUGUGCAUUGGAAACUGUUAGACUUGAGUGCAGUAGAGGAGAGUGGAAUUCCAUGUGUAGCGGUGAAAUGCGUAGAUAUAUGGAGGAAC